ensembl:lncRNA
GCCAAAGGUGAAGCAUCUGGUCAUGCCCAGCAUUUAGCUGAUCAUCUUCCACACUCGCAUCCAUCAUGUAAAGAGAAGAGACGUCGAGUCAAAACAGAAAAUUCAGAUUCAGGAGUCAGAUCCAUAAUCAGGUGUUUAUAUUUUCAUAUGGGAUCUCUCACGAUUCAUUUCCGCCCUUAGGAAUUCUAUUUCAAAGGUACCUCUGGAUGAACCCAUGGACCCGCAAGCUGAGGUCUCGCCCUUUACAACUCUCUCCUCUCCUCUAUCAUUUUUAAAAACAAAUCUCUUACUCUUUGUUUGUUUGUAUCGUUGGGGGGUCAUUAAAGGACUAAACAUUGGCCAGAUCACAAAGAGAGGGGUGGUUAAUAUGUUUCAGCGGCUCCAUUAGUCAAAGUGUGUGUGGG